UACCAGCACCCCGAGUGGUCGGGACGAUUAUUGGGCCUAAAGCAUCCGUAGCCGGUCCUACAAGUCUUCCGUUAAAUCCACCUGCUUAACAGAUGGGCUGCGGAAGAUACUAUAGGGCUAGGAGGCGGGAGAGGCAAGCGGUACUCAGUGGGUAGGGGUAAAAUCCUCUGAUCCAUUGAAGACCACCAGUGGCGAAGGCGGCUUGCCAGAACGCGCUCGACGGUGAGGGAUGAAAGCUGGGGGAGCAAACCGGGAUUAGAAACCCCCAGUAGCCAC
rnacentral:rRNA from 1 species